GACGAACGCUGGCGGCGUGCUUAACACAUGCAAGUCGAACGAUGAAGCCCAGCUUGCUGGGUGGAUUAGUGGCGAACGGGUGAGUAACACGUGAGUAACCUGCCCUUGACUCUGGGAUAAGCGCUGGAAACGGCGUCUAAUACCGGAUACGACCUGCCCCGGCAUCGGGUGCGGGUGGAAAGUUUUUCGGUCAAGGAUGGACUCGCGGCCUAUCAGCUAGUUGGUGAGGUAAUGGCUCACCAAGGCGACGACGGGUAGCCGGCCUGAGAGGGUGACCGGCCACACUGGGACUGAGACACGGCCCAGACUCCUACGGGAGGCAGCAGUGGGGAAUAUUGCACAAUGGGCGAAAGCCUGAUGCAGCAACGCCGCGUGGGGGAUGACGGCCUUCGGGUUGUAAACCUCUUUUAGUAGGGAGGAAGGGCUUCGGCUUGACGGUACCUGCAGAAAAAGCACCGGCUAACUACGUGCCAGCCGCCGCAGUAA
rnacentral:rRNA from 1 species